rnacentral:rRNA from 1 species
UUGAACGCUGGCGGAAUGCUUUACACAUGCAAGUCGCGCGGCAGCGCGGCCUUCGGGCUGGCGGCGAGCGGCGAACGGGUGAGUAAUGCAUCGGAACAUGCCCAGUCGUGGGGGAUAACACUUCGAAAGAAGUGCUAAUACCGCAUACGUCCUGAGGGGGAAAGCGGGGGAUCGCAAGACCUCGCGCGAUUGGAGUGGCCGAUGUCAGAUUAGCUAGUUGGUGGGGUAAAGGCCUACCAAGGCGACGAUCUGUAGCUGGUCUGAGAGGAUGAUCAGCCACACUGGGACUGAGACACGGCCCAGACUCCUACGGGAGGCAGCAGUGGGGAAUUUUGGACGAUGGGGGCAACCCUGAUCCAGCCAUUCCGCGUGAGUGAAGAAGGCCUUCGGGUUGUAAAGCUCUGUCGGCAGGAACGAAACGGUGGGCUCUAACAUAGUCCGCUAAUGACGGUACCUGAAGAAGAAGCACCGGCUAACUACGUG